rnacentral:tRNA from 1 species
GUGGAUGUAGCUCAGUUGGUAGAGCACCAGGUUGUGGCCCUGGGGGUCGUGGGUUCAAGUCCCACCAUUCACCCCA